rnacentral:rRNA from 1 species
AGCGAACGCUGGCGGCAGGCCUAACACAUGCAAGUCGAACGAACCCUUCGGGGUUAGUGGCAGACGGGUGAGUAACACGUGGGAACGUGCCCUUUGGUUCGGAACAACUCAGGGAAACUUGAGCUAAUACCGGAUAAGCCCUUACGGGGAAAGAUUUAUCGCCGAAAGAUCGGCCCGCGUCUGAUUAGCUAGUUGGUGUGGUAACGGCGCACCAAGGCGACGAUCAGUAGCUGGUCUGAGAGGAUGAUCAGCCACAUUGGGACUGAGACACGGCCCAAACUCCGUACGGGGGCG